rnacentral:sRNA from 1 species
GAGUGCCCGUGCGCAGCGGAGAUGCCACCUUCCCCAAAGCUAUGGACAACGUGACGGUCCGGCAGGGGGAGAGCGCCACCCUCAGGUGUACCAUAGACGACCGGGUAACCCGGGUGGCCUGGCUAAACCGCAGCACCAUCCUCUACGCUGGGAAUGACAAGUGGUCCAUAGACCCUCGUGUGAUCAUCCUGGUCAAUACACCAACCCAGUACAGCAUCAUGAUCCAAAAUGUGGAUGUGUAUGACGAAGGUCCGUACACCUGCUCUGUGCAGACAGACAAUCAUCCCAAAACGUCCCGGGUUCACCUAAUAGUGCAAG